ACCGUCGACAGUCAGGUAACGAGCGAGACCCCUGCGUCUAGUUGCUACCAUUACUCUCUGGAGCAGUGGAGCGAAUUAGACGGACCGCCACAGUUAAUGUGGAGGAAGGAAGGGGCCACGGCAGGUCAGUAUGCCCCGAAACCCUAGGGCAACACGCGGGCUGCAAUGGUAUUGACAAUGUGUUCCGAAUCCGAAAGGAGGAGGCAAUCAUCAAACAAUAUCUCAGUUAUGACUGAGGGCUGUAACUCGCCCUCACGAAUAUGGAAUCCCUAGUAACCGCGCGUCACUACCGCGCGGUGAAUACGUCCCUGCUCCUUGCACGAAUUCGCCG
rnacentral:rRNA from 1 species